rnacentral:rRNA from 1 species
UACAGAGGUCCCGAGCGUUGUUCGGAUUCAUUGGGCGUAAAGGGUGCGUAGGCGGCGGGGCAAGUCUGAUGUGAAAUCCCGGGGCUCAACCCCGGAACUGCAUUGGAUACUGCCUUGCUCGAGUACUGGAGAGGGAACUGGAAUUUACGGUGUAGCAGUGAAAUGCGUAGAGAUCGUAAGGAAGGCCAGUGGCGAAGGCGAGUUCUUGGACAGUUACUGACGCUGAGGCACGAAGGCCAGGGGAGCAAACGGG